CAACCUGAGCUCAGUCGUGAUUACCCGCCGAACUUAAGCAUAUCAUUCAGCGGAGGAAAAGAAACUAACUAGGAUUCCCCAAGUAAUGGCGAAUGAAAGGGGAAGAGCCCAGCGCUGAAUCUCUCGGUCUUAGGCCGCUGAGAACUGUAGCGUAUAGGUGUGACUGUCCUGCUAUAUUGCAUUUCCGAAGUCUCUUUGAUAGGGGCCAACAUCCAGAGAGGGUGCGAGACCUGUACGGAAAGUAGUAUAGUUGGUAUGGUUACUCCUUGGAGUCGGGUUGCUUGAAAGUGCAGCCUAAAGUUGGUGAUAAACUUCAUCUAAGGCUAAAUAUCGACGCGAAAUCGAUAGCAAACAAGUACCGUGAGGGAAAGUUGCAAAGAACUUUGAAGAGAGAGUUCAAGAGAACGUGAAAUCGCUGAAGUGGAACCGGAGAGAGUUAACAUAACUUGGUAGCUAUAUCCUCUAAAGUCGCUUAACUGUGGCUCUGGGGGGUGGUACGCUACCUGUUGUUGCACUGACUGCGUUGAUUGUGCUUUCCGAACAGUAUAGUGUUGCCCACUUUGUGGUGUCUUGCUUUCUGGGAGGUUUGUCAUAAUUAACGUAAAGCCAAUUCCCUUUGGAGUCAGUGUGAAAGUUAACCACCUUUCCGACCCGUCUUGAAACACGGACCGAGGAGUGUAAUUUAUACGCGAGUCAAGGGGUGGUGAAAACCCUAGGGGCGGAAUGAAAGUAAAGGCCGGUUAACCGGUUGACAUGGGAUCCGCUCUUCGGAGCGGCGCACCAUGGCCCUGUCUUGUCUGCUUGCAGAUGGGCAGCGGUAGAGCGUAUAGUUUGCGACCCGAAAAGAUGGUGAACUAUGCUUGAGCAGGACGAAGCCAGAGGAAACUCUGGUGGAAGUCCGUAUCGGUUCU
rnacentral:ncRNA from 1 species